rnacentral:lncRNA from 1 species
CUUCCAUCUCUGAGGGCAUAUACAUAUUUCCAACCAUUCAAGUGGAAUGACUAAAUUAGAUACAGAUACGACAAUUUACUGAGUCCCAUUUCUGGCUGGCCAACCAUGAUACGAUUUAUGACCACGGUCGUAUCAACCAUAGUGGCCAUAACAGAUAAAUAUAGUCACGACUUACUUAGCCACAGGUGACCCCUACAUAU